ensembl:lncRNA
AGUGGCGCAGGGCACGAUGGAAUCACAGUACGGUUGGUCCUUUAGGAACCAGCGGGAAAGAUAAAAGCUACAGUUUCAACCUUGUUUGGUGAAUGUCUCCACAAAUUUCCAGAUAUCCAGAUAAUCACGAUGGUAUGAUCACUCACUUAGAGCCAGACAUCCUGGAAUGUGAAGUCAAGAGGGCCUUAGGAGUCAUCACUACGAACAAAGCUAGUGGAGGUGAUGGAAUUCCAGUUGAGCUAUUUCAAAUUCUGAAAGAUGAUGCUGUGAAAGUGCUGCACUCAACAUGCCAGUAAAUUUGGGAAAAACUCAGCAUUGGCCACAGGAUUGGAAAAGGCUUCAACAGAACAUGAACUGUGAACUUCCAGAUGUUCAAACUGGUUUUAGAAAAGAGAGAGGAACCAGAGAUCAAAUUGCCAAUAUCUGCUGGAUCAUCAAAAAAGCA